rnacentral:rRNA from 1 species
GACGAACGCUGGCGGCGUGCUUAACACAUGCAAGUCGAACGGAAAGGCCUUGCAUUUGUGGGGUGUUCGAGUGGCGAACAGGUGUGUGUAACGUGUGUAAACUGCCCCUUACUUUGGGAUAACUUAAGGAAACUGGGGCUCAUAUAGGGUAUGAGCACCUGCUGCAUAGUGGUUGUGGGAAAGAUACGGCGGUUUGUGAUGGACACGCGGCUUAUCAGUUUGUUGGUGGGGUAGUGGCUUACAAGGGCUUUGACGGGUAGCCGGCCUGAGAGUGUGACCGGCCACAAUGGGACUGAGGUACGGCCCAGACGCCAACUUGAGGAAGCGGUGGAGAAUAUUGCGCAAUGGGCGGAGGCCGGAUGCAGCGACGUCGGGUGCUAGAUAACGGCCUUUAGGGUGUAAACCGCUUUCGACUGUAACGAACAGUGAGUGACGGUAAUGAGUAAGAAAGCAACGGCUAACUACGUG